rnacentral:rRNA from 1 species
UACGGAGGGUGCGAGCGUUGUCCGGAAUCAUUGGGCGUAAAGGGCGCGUAGGUGGCUUCUUAAGCGUGCGGUGAAAGCCUGGGGCUCAACCCCGGGUCGGCCGUGCGAACUGGGGGGCUGGAGCACUGUAGAGGCAGGCGGAAUUCCGGGUGUAGCGGUGGAAUGCGUAGAUAUCGGGAGGAACACCAGUGGCGAAGGCGGUUGCCUGGGGCUUUGCUGACGCUGAGGCGCGAAAGCGUGGGGAGCGAUCCGG